AAGCUACUUCUUCCGUGUUAGAAAAAGUAACAUUCCUCGUGGUUUCUGUUUUUUCACGCUCUGUAUUGUUACUUUUUCUUCUCUGCAAGACAAUUUGUGUGCAAAUAUUGUCCAGACACGAUUUCCACUUUAUGGGUUUUGCUCAUUAAGACUGUCAGAAGUUUAUUCCUGUAGAUCUAAUGAAACAUUUUCUGCUGAUCCUUUUCCUGUAGAAAUGGACCAGUAAUGAAAACAUCCUAGAGUAUUAUGCAACAGUUCACACUCUCUUGUAUGUCCUGUAGCCAACCAGUCGAUCAUGUGACAUUCACUGUUGUAACAUAUUGUACCGUGUUGAUAAAGUUAUAUGAAUUAUGCAAUGUAGACACAAGGGAAAGUGUGUGUUUGUGUGCGUGGGUAAGCAGCAGCUGGUUGAGUGUGGGUGAGUGAAUGCUAAAGUACACAAUGGAGAAUGGGAACAAGCCUGGUAUACCAAUAAAACAAUAUGACUUUUUUUUUGUUUGUUUUAGAGUUCAUGGAAAUGCUCGUGUUGCAGCAGCAAAGUAAAUAAACACUCAAUUAUAACAUACAACAUAAUCUCAUGCGGCUGUGUUGAAAUGCUCAGUUUGAAAUAAAUUGUGGGACUUGAAAACCUUCUUGAGAGUACAAAUGAGCAGACUCCUUGUGUGGCAGAACAGAAAGAGCACGCUGAUUAAAACCUUCAAGGCCUGUAUAGUUACAGUGAAAUGAGAGGAUGAUGUAUGACUGGAUGAUAUUGUGGUUUUGUGUAAGGCUGCUAAAUGUGCCUGUGAUUGAGACUGACUGGAAACCGCGCCUCUCGGACGAUGUCAGCUGGGAUUGGCUGCAUCCUCCCCCCUGCAACCCUCAAGGAUAAGCAGGAUCAGCGUUUCUCACCGUGUAUCCAAAACUGUAAGCUAGAAAGAGGACAAUCAGGACAAAAUGAGUGAUGGAGGAUCUGAUGUGGGAGAAACAUGCACCUGCUUUUCUGCAGGAUCCUGUGGUGGGGCUGAGGAGUGUGAAAGAUCAAAAUUUGGCAGAGGCUGAGAGGCAGCAGUUAAAGAAGAAAUGAAAGAGGAUAAAGAGGAGGAGGAUGGGGGAGGAGAAGAUCCCUCUGUCAGACACAGGUCCGGGAUCUGGGCUCAGGAGAGUGACAACCCCAGUGUGGUCUCACACCAAGCGCAUUAAUGAGCGUCUGAGAGGGAUUUAAGCUCUAGGGCUUAACAUAGAUCAGGCGCUGAUUCUCUACCUCAGGAAAACGGGACUGGACUUUGAGCCACCAUUAUGGAGGCAUUUGCACAUGCUGGGAGAGAUGCAUUAAGGUUGUCUCAAAUGAAAGCAGUACCUGAAACACUUAGAGACUAAUAGUAGGACAUACUGGGAAUUAUCUACCACGCUGGAACAGUUAAGCCUUGGUAGACUUGUGCUGUCUACUUAUGCCAGAACCUCCCAUCUGACCUCUAUGAUGAUUCUCCUAAGCAUGCCAUUUUACUGUUGCUUAGACUUUACAUCAACAUUGACAGAACUGGCUGCAUAAUGUAACAAAGUGCAUUAACACAACUACUUUUUACUGCGCUACAUUUAUCUGACAUCUUACUGGUCAAUUUUAAGAUUUUACAUACAAAACUCAACUUGUAAAAUAUGAUGCAUUGUUAUAGUUUAAACUGCCUUACAGUGUAAAACUAUUGUAAUUAGCUCCACAACAACCAGUUACAACAGUAAAAUGCUGCUCACACAUUAAAGAGUAAUUUCACUGCUGGAAAAUGGGCCCUUUCUUAAACCUACAGUAGGUACAGUUAUUUGAUUGAUCAUCAAUUAUAUUUGUGCUAUAUGGGUUUAAACUUAAUAAUAUUACUUAGGGGUCACAUGAGCUUCAUAUUCAUGGUUAUGAUAAUAAACAUUUGGUUAAGGAUAGGGAACAAUCAUGGUCAUGGUUUUAAGAAAAAUAUUGCUGACUGUCAGUUGUAAAAAGGGCAACAAACAGCUUUCUCCCGUGUUAAACGACAAUGUUAUGGAAGGACUGUAUUGUACAGAGAUUUUUAAUUCAAAUUAUUUAAGUAAAAGUUAUUCAAAUAGUUGUCAACCCCUCUCUUAAGGCAUCCCUCCAAAGAGACACUAACACAUUUUCAUGUACAAUGAGUGCAUGGAGAGAGUACGCACAAGUAGGCAGGCAGGUAGCCCAGCUUUGAUUGGCGGUGCGACAGCCACAGAUACCACAUAUUGUUAAUUUUUGUGUCAGAGCAUUUGAUUUAAUGAUUGCCGUAGGGAUGUAACGAGAAGUUCAACAAAUACAACAAAAAUGCUUCUGAAAUAAAUUGCCUGCCCUAGCUUAAAAAAAAAGUACCUAAACGAAAAUAAUCUUAACCUCAUGCUUUUAACUUUCUGUAGGACCUGCUGUGUGAAGUGAAAAAAGCCCAAAUGAGAGUUAUGUAAACACAUUCCCUGCACGCACAGCUCAAACAGCCACAGCUGGCUGAACUUGCGUAAGAGACCCUGCAUGGCUCAGACUCUGUGUAUGCCAUCCGGGUUUGUAGAUCACUCAAAAUCUGCUUUGGUUCAGUCCUGUUUCACAGGCACCAACUGCAUGGCACUGCGACGGAUGGAUUAACAUAAGUGCAGGAUUGAGGUUGUCCCAGAUAACUAGAGAAUUGGAAUGAUUUCCAAAAGCAUUCAUGAACAUUUUCAGGGGUUGCUUAGAGGUUACUGGAUGGUAAUAUGAUCCACAUUAACUCAAGUUUUAUUGUAAACUUUGUUGAAUUCCCCUGGAUGACUGCAAGUAGAAAAAUGAGAACACAACUGAUGCCAUAAAUUAGUAGAAGGGUCUGCUGGACAAGGAAUAUCUCAUUUAAAAGAUUUUUGCUAAACUAAGUGUAAAAGGAUGGUAGCUGCCGUAUUUGUUUAUGGCUAAUGAUACUUUUAUAGUCCAAACAGACAGUUGUUUUAUUUUCUACAAUAAUAAGAAACGUAGAGAAUAAAAUGUAUUUCAUGUUAAAGGUACCCUAUGGAGUAUUUUAACCUCUUGUGGCACUGUAGAGCAAUGUUUUGGUGAGUGAGUCUCCUUGUUUGAAUGUGUUGCAACAGCAUAAAUUUCUGCUCACUGCAGAGGAUGUUUGUCAUCUUUUGUGCCAUCUCAUGGCCAUUAAGUGACAAGGUCACACUGUCAGAGCUGCCUGCCAUGUAGAGGAAACAAUAGCAAUAGGUGCAGCGUGAAUUAAAAACAUAAAUAUCACUGAGGCUCUCACACUAUGGACAAAGUUAAAGGAACAGUUCAUUUUGGGAUAUAAGCUUGUAGGCUUUAUUGCCCGUUAUGGAAAUAAAGCGAGCCAAGUGUCAGGUGUGGUGAAGAAGUUCUCGGAAACUCGUGAUGACUUACACAGUACUGUUUAUUGAGCCCAGCUAGGGAGGCUGAUAACAGCAUACAGUGUACAGAUACAAUGUAACACCUAAACCAAUCUGAUGAAACCUCCUGGUACACAAUAUUUAUCUCUGUGUUAUCCUAGACUGUCUAUGUGUUUCUCCCUACAAGGUCAUCUUUAACUGGCCUAAAUCUGUUCCCUAGGUCAGGUUUAAAUCUAAUGGUGUCAUAAUUUUGGCCCUCUAAUCUGUGGGGACAGUGAGUUCUGUAAACCUGUAAGAUUCCCAGGGAACACUGAUAUCUGCUAGUCUGAUGCUGGAACUAUAGUGUCUCCCUAUCAGCCAAUUGUCGUCACAAUGACAAGGAGUGAGACAGAGGCUACGGUUGGAAAGUCAGGAAUGACCCCGUGCCUAGUCUGCACAUGAGCCGUACCUCACCUGUAAGACAUUUCCUCAACAUUGACAAGAGUUAGAUGAGAAAAUCAAUACCACUCUCCUGUUUACACUGUUUACACUAAAUAUGAAGCUAUAGCCAGCAGAUAAUCAGCAUAAAUUUAGCAUAAAGACUGGAAACAGUAGGAAAGUAGAUAUGUCAAGGUUAAAAUGUAUUCUUACCAGCACCUCUAAAGCUCAUUAAGUAACACUUUAUAUUUUGUUUCUUGCAUAUGACUUAUCACCACAACUUGUCUUUUUUACAUUUAAAUUUUUGUACAAAUUAAACAAAUGAGGUAAAACAUGUGACCAGGGUAGCUGUUUUCUAGUCUCUCUGCUAAGCUAAGCUAACCGUCUGCCUGCUGACUGUAGCUCCACAGUUGUUUUCUAUUUUCUUUCAUUGAACCUUUAUUUAACCAGGAGUAAAAGUCAAAUUUUGAAUUUAAAAUCACUUUCAAGAGUGCCCUGGUCAAGACAGGCAGCAGCACAAAUAACAUAAGGUAAUAAGGUUUCAGACAUAAGACGCAACAUAAAAUUUUAUAAAAUGAAAACAUCAUGCAUGGCAACUUUGCCAACAAGUUUACCUUAUGAUGAUAUGUUAAUGUUUUGUUCACAAUUUGUUUCCGCUGCCCCAAAGUGACCCCAAAAAAUCAUUUACUGCUGAUUUAAGGACGCAAACACUGUUUCAGUGAGAAAGAGUAAAUGUCAAGUCCACAGGGUACCUUAAACUGAUUCAUACAUGUUUGUUUCACAGCAGCAGGUAUGGUAAUGUGUGCUCUAAUGUGUGCUGAAUACUGAAGACAGAAACCAGGAAGCAUUUUUAUAAGUAAACACUACUUUGCAUAUGAAUACCAGAAUUCACUGUGAUGGGGAAAUUAGAGCUAAUUUGCCAGAAGCACUUACCUUGGCAUGAAUAUGAGGGAAGGCCAUGCACUAACAAGUACAGCCAGGCACUGAUUAGUGGGUAAUAUACUUACUUCAGUAAGUGGAAUAAAGUGCUCCACUGUAUAACUGGGAUAGACUGGAUUUGCCUCACUUGGUCUGCCAGCAUGGCUCAGUCUUAACAGGUACAGGAACACGUCGCUUACAGCUGAUCGUUUCGUCAACUCAGGAUGUAGAAUCAACCCAACAAUGAGCUACUGUUGAACCAAAACCUGUAGGAAAAUACAGAAACGCAGCACCUUUACAUUGUUUACAUUACUCUGGAACAAGCUUCCUCUUGCCAUCCGCUCUGCCUCCUCUAAAUAACCUUUAAAACCCAGCUUAAAACAUAAAUCUUCACUGAGGCCUAUGGGCUUUAAUCUCCCCUGGCCUCACACCUCUCACCUCUUACCCCGCCCCCCCCUUUUUGUUUGUUAAGCGUCCUUGGGUUUGUGAAAGGCGCUAUAUAAAUCAAAGUUAUUAUUAUUAUUAUUAUUAUUAGAGAUGUCAGGUUUACGUGUAGUCUCUGUCACUUAGAUUUUGUAAUAUGUUUAGGUGGUUUUGAAAGAAGUAUUCAGAUCCUUUAGAUAAAUAAAAGUAACUAUCACAACGGAAAAUACUCCAUUACAAGUAAAAUUCCAGUGUUAAUAAAUGUAUUAACUGCAAAAAUAUAUGAUUUGAUUGUUAAUACAUAUACAUUUUAUUCUUGUAGCAUGUCAAGAUGCAGCUAUUAUAAUUUCUUUAUAUACUGUUGAGUUGCAGAGUAACUUGUGUAGCCAUCAGAUAAAUGUACUGUAGUACAUUUAAUGUGCACAUGUGCUUAAAUAUG